rnacentral:rRNA from 1 species
CCUACGGGAGGCAGCAGUAAGGAAUAUUGGUCAAUGGACGAAAGUCUGAACCAGCCAUGCCGCGUGAAGGAUGACGGCCCUCUGGGUUGUAAACUUCUUUUAUCUGGGACGAAAAAAGGGAAUUCUUUCUCACUUGACGGUACCAGAGGAAUAAGCACCGGCUAACUCCGUGCCAGCAGCCGCGGUAAUACGGAGGGUGCAAGCGUUAUCCGGAUUCACUGGGUUUAAAGGGAGCGUAGGUGGGCAGGUAAGUCAGUGGUGAAAUCUCCGGGCUUAACCCGGAAACUGCCAUUGAUACUAUUUGUCUUGAAUUAUCUGGAGGUAAGCGGAAUAUGUCAUGUAGCGGUGAAAUGCUUAGAUAUGACAUAGAACACCCAUUGCGAAGGCAGCUUACUACGGAUAUAUUGACACUGAGGCUCGAAAGCGUGGGGAUCAAACAGGAUUAGAUACCCUGGUAGUCCACGCCCUAAACGAUGGAUACUCGACAUACAGCGAUACACUGUUGGUGUCGUGUAGCGAAGACGAUAGUAGUACCACCGUCGGAAGGUACGACCGCCGUAAGGUUAGUUAAACGUUACGUAAAGUUAGUUAAGUUAGUUACGGCGUUGAGACGNGCCGACGGACGACGACGAGGGAGGAGG